rnacentral:rRNA from 1 species
AGGACGAACGCUGGCGGCGUGCUUAACACGUGCAAGUCGAGCGGAAAGGCCCUUCGGGGUACUCGAGCGGCGAACGGGUGAGUAACACGUGAGUAAUCUGCCCCUAGCUCUGGGAUAGCUCCGGGAAACCGGGAUUAAUACCGGAUACGACCACCUUAGACAUCUUUUGUGGUGGAAAGAAUUUCGGCUAGGGAUGAGCUCGCGGCCUAUCAGCUUGUUGGUGGGGUAACGGCCUACCAAGGCGACGACGGGUAG